AACAAAUGCUUUUGGGUAGAUAUGUUUUAGCAGCAUUAAUAUCAAACUGACUGUUCACAAAAGUUCUGCCACUUGAAUAUCACUUUAGCCAUUUUUUGCAAAACAAUAAAAAAAAAAAGAAAGAAAGAAAGAAUGAGAAAAAAGAGAAGGUGUGUGCUGUGUGCCAGGCUGCUGUGAUGCAAAUACCGUCAGUCGACAUAAAGUAAUGGCCAGAAUGAAAACCCCAAACACAUAUGGCUGGUAGAAUAUCUGUGGCUAAUAAUUAUUUUUAAGGUUUUUUUUUUUUUUUGAGAGAGAGAGCGCGCACAUGCAUAAAUAAAACAUUGAAAAAUAACAGUAAGUCCUUUUGAACUUACUUUGCUUAAGAAGUAGUGGACCAAAGGGAAACAUUCAAAUAUCAUCUGGAUUGAGUCUAAACCAAACUCAUAGUCCUUUUCAAUUUCUGCUCUGAGGAUCUGUGAGACUGAAGCAGGGUUCUCCACAUUUGCAGAGACAGAUGAAGGGUUUCUGGGUCGUGCCGUGAGCGUAACUGGUCAUCAGAGGAAGUGGUACAGUCUGUCCAUAGGCUAGAACACACAGAGCGAUCUCUACGUGUACUUUGUAUCUGGUGCCGCAAAGGCUUUAGGGAUAUGGGGUGAACAACACAGAAAUGCAUUCCACCCUCCUUGAGUUCACUGUCCAGUGAGAUGACCAUUAAACAAACAAGUACUUAGUCCCAAAGGAGAACAAAUGACUUCAGUAGUGAAUAACUGAAGAACCAAUCUUUGUCUCCAAGCUUCAAAUGAAACCUCCCGGAGGAUCCAGUGGAAUGCCAAAGGUGAAGGAGGAGUUGGUCCCCACCUCAGCCCUUCCCCGGAACUUCUGGCAAGAGGCAACCGAACACCAAAGGCUCAGAGGCAGACAUUCACAAAACUAUAGGAAGACCUCUGUGGCUAAAGAAUAAGUGAAGGAGAGGUGGAGAGCUAUGCUCUCUGGAGGAGCCUGAUCAAAACUGUGAAAGGAAGACCAGUCGUGUUCUCAAUUUCUUCACUUCCAGGGAAGAGAUCUGACACAAGUGUGCACUGGCCUGGAUCCGUCUCCUCUUGGUUAAGGAGCCAUCUCUACAGUCAUCCUCUGUCCUGGGCAGUGGCACGUGUGGAUUUUCUUAGCCCAGGCCAGCUGACCUCAGACACCAGCGUAUCUGCGGAGACCGACCCCAACCUGCUCUUGGCACGCGGAGAUGUUGACAACACCUCUUCUUCUGCUGCUGGAAGCAGAUACAGUCUGCAAACACCAUCACACCAUCAUGAGAAUUCUCUCGGCCUCUUCCCACACCACGGACCCGUCCACACAGCAUUACCAUCAGGCAGGCAAGCUGAGGCAGCAAGAGUCUGCUUAUGCUGACAGCCGACGCGUGGGUGGGUGGGCACCGUGCCCUAGAAGCAAGUACUAUUAAGGCUUAAGGAUGCAGGCUUGCAUUUAUAUAUUUGUAUAAGAUCAACCCCCCUCCUUCCUUUGUUCUGUCUCUGCGCUCCCUCAUUUCCCUUGAAUCUCUUUCGUGAUGGUGGUACAAUAGCACCUACUCCAGGGUGCUGUUAGGCAAGGAUUUCUCCUUCUUCCCCUUAGCAUUUCAUUGUUCCAUAGAUUUAGGUGUUCCUGUGCCCUGCUAGUCUGAGGACACCAGAAACUGUUCCCAUGGUCACUUCUACCAGUUCGUGUUUACUACAUAACAAAUUGCCCCUUGAUGGCUUAAAAUAACAACCAGUUUUUAGCUCACAACUCUGCCGUUUGGCCAUUUGGACUGAGUGCAUGUAGAUAGUUCUGGGUGGGGAUUAGCUGGUUGAAGGGCCUCAGUUGAAAUGGCUUAUCUCUACUUUGCACGGUUUCUCAUCUUCCAGCAGGCUAUCCCAGAAUGGUCACCUGGUGACUGCAGUUUUCCAAGAACAAAACAUCGGAAGUUGCAAGGCCUCUUCCCCCCCCCCCCCGGUUUUAUUGAGAAAUAAUUGGCAUAUAUCAUUAUAUAAGUUCAAGGUGUAGCACAUGAUGGUUUAAUUUACAUAUGUCAUGAAAUGAGCGCCACAACAGGUUGAGUUAAUAUCCAUCUUCUCAUAUAGAUACAAUAAAAAGAAAAAAAUUCUUACGACGAGUGUUCUUAGGAUUUACCAUCUUAACGAUUUUCCUAGAUAGCAUCCAGCAGCGUAGGUAAAGUCAUCAUGUACAUUACAUCCCUAGUGCUUAUUUAUCUUACUACUGGAGGUUUGUACCUUCUGACCACCAAUUCCCUCUCCCUUCCCUCUUGCCUCAAGCAGCUACAAGGCUUUUUCCAUAUCUCUUUUCUCACGAGUUUGAUUUUUAAAAAAUUUUUCAUUAGAGUCUACGUAUAAGUGAGAUCAUACAGGAUUUGUCUAUCUCUUAAUUCACUUAGCAUAAUUUCUUCAAAGUCCAUCCGUAUGUUGUAGAUGAUAAGACUUCCUUUUUUUAUGGCUUACUAACCUUCCAUUUUACACACACACACACACACACACACACACACACACACACGUAUGCGUGUGGGCCACCUCUUCUUCAUCCAUUCAUCCAUCAGUGGACACUUAGGUUAUUUCCAAGUCUUGGCUAUUGCAAAUAAUGCUGCUAUGAACAUGUCGAUGCAGAUAUAGUUUCAAAUUAGUGUUUUCAUUUCCUUUGGAUAUAUUCCCAGAAGUGGAAUUGCUGGAUCAUACAGUAGGUCUAUUUUUAAUUUUUUGAGGAAACUCCAUACUGGUUUCCAUAGUAGUUGCACCAAUUUCCAAUUCCACCAACAGUGCACAAGGGUUCCCUUUUCUCCACACCCUCACCAGCACUUGCUAUCUCUUGUCUUUUUGAUGAUGGUCAUUCCAUCAGGCAUGAGGUAAUGACUCAGUGUGGUUUUAAUUUGCAUUUCCCUAAUGACCAGUGAUAUUGAGCAUCUUUUUAUGUACCUGUUGGCUUUUUGUAGUUUUUCUAUGGAAAAAUGCCUCUUCAGGUCCUUUGACCAUUUUUUUAAGUUGGAUUAUUUGUAUUUUUAACUAUUGAGUUGUAGGAGUUCUUUGUGUAUUUUGGACAUUAGCCCCUUAUGUAGUUUGCAAAUAUUUCCCCCAUUCUGUAGGUUAUCUUUUCACUUUGUUGAUGGUUUCUUUUGCUGUGCAGAAGCUUUUGAUGCGGUCUCAAUUUAUUUUUGAUUUUGUUGCUUGUGCUUUAGGUGUGGUUUCCAAAAACUCACUACCAAGGCCCAUGUCAAAGAGUUUUGUUUCUGUUUUCUUUUAGGAGUUUCAAGGUGUCUGGUCUUAUGUUUAAGUCUUUAAUUCAUUUCGACUUAAUUUUUGUGAGCAGUGUGAGAUAGGGGUCUGGUUUCAUUUUGUUACAUGUGAAUAUCUAGUUUUCCUAACACCAUUUAUUAAAGAGACUAUCAUUUCUCCAUGCUCAGCACAGAGCCCGAUGCAGGGCUCGAUCCUAUGACCCUGCAAUCAUGACCUGAGCUGAAACCAAGAGUUGGAUGUUCAACUGACUGAGCCACCCAGGCACUUCUUGUCCCAAAUAUUUUAUGUAUUACUUAAGUUACACACGAGAAUAAUAAUCUCCUGACAUGUUGAAGGAUUCAUGAUUUUGAGUCAAAACACCUAAUUCAGGGUAUGUCUCCAGACCUCUUUUAACUAUAUGUAAGGCCAAGUAAUGGCAAGUAUUAUGAAAUCUUCAGCAUGGGGCUCAGCACAUAAAUGCUUAACAAAUGUUUGUUGAAUCUGAAUGAAAAGAUGGGAGCAAAAAUGCUAUAUAAAUCAGAGGAAAUUAGCCUGAAAACCUAUCCCAUUAAUUCUGUGUUUAUGAUCAACUUUUAUCAUGGAAAUUUGGAAUUUAAUAGGUGAGAAAAAAGAUUCGAUUUAACUUCCAUACUUGCAGUAUGGGCUGUUGGAUGGAACAGCAUCAUGUCCAUUGCUGUACGUAAUAGUUGGGAAUUAUAACGAAGGGCAGAAUGAAGAGGGUCCUUAAACUUUAGUUCACUAAGUCACCAACUGAAUUAAGAAAUCACGUAUCUUUACAAAUUCCAACAAUGUUCCUCAGCUAUUUCAAGCGGGACCUCGGAGAAGCACCUAAACGAACUAUUUUUUAAAAACCUCCUUUCUUUAGAAGUUGCAACACAAAUUGGCAAGAAGCAGAAAGUGACCUCUUAAUUUUGUUUCAUAGGCCCCAUAUUCAGUUUGGUCUGAUGCUCUUUCCAGUCCUGUUUCUCCAAAUUAAAAAUUGAUCAAUAGAAACAAUAAGAAUACAUUAGAGAAAUUUUUGCAGAUUCUUAGUCUAAAUAUAUUUUCCUAAGUCCUAUUUAGUAAGCAACUGCAAGAGUAGGCUGGCUAUUUACUUAAUGACCAUGAGAAGCCAUCCUGACCCUUCCCAGGAAGGUCAAAGAGCAGCUUGUUUUUUGGAUGCCUAAUUUAAUUGGACAAAGGAAAUUGCUUUCAUCAUUUUUGUUUUGCCCUUCCUAAUUGGAUUGAAUGUCAACUUUCCACGCGAUGUUCCCCAACAUACACUCAUGUUCCUAAUGCAACCAGAUUAGAUCAAUCUGCAUCUGUCUUCAUUGUACCCUGGGACUGCAUAAACUUUGAAUACAUAUUUAUUUUGUGGAUUUCAUUUCCAUGUUAAUUAGAAUUCAGGUUCCUGGAAUUUCCAUUCUGAGUAUGAUAAUCUUCUUAUAGUCAGCAUGAUAGAAACAGCUGCAUUCAUUUACUUUAUGAAAAAUGGUGUUUCUGGCUCAGAUGAUCAUUGGAUAUAUACUUUCUAGAUCAAAGAUUGUGCCUCCAUUCCUUCCUAUAGAUUUAUCAGAAUGUAUUAAUAUAUUGAGAACUUUCAAACUCAAUUUUAUGAGGUCACUGUGUUUUUUGGAAGACAAAGUGAACAACAAAAAUUAUUGGGAAAUGAUACUAAAAUGAUCUCAUUGCCUUUUCUUCUACUGUAAUCACUGCUCUCCAAGUAGACUUUUUAAAAAGAUUAACUAGUUUCUUAAUUAUAAAAGUUGUCUACUACUGUUAACGUUUUGAUGGCUUUCUUUUCAUAUACAUAUAGUAGAUUUUUGUAAAAUGUUAUUACUCUAAACAGAUAAAUAUGAUCUCUGUCCCAAAAUGUGUUUUUCAACAGCCAUCUUUCUAAUCUAAUCAAGAAUUUUUUAGACAACCAGGGUGCCUGGCUGGCUCAGUUGGUAGAGCACGUGACUUGAUCUCAGGGGAAUGAAUUCGAUCGAUCUCCAGGUUGGGCAUAGAGCUCAUUAUUAAAAGAAAAGUGAAAAACAAAACAAAAAAAAAAAGAAUUUAUUAGACAAUAAAAUAAAGGAGAUUAUUCAAUCCAACAUCAACAUGUGCUAAAGAUUUACUAUAUUACUAUGUCACCCGCCUUCCUCUUUGAUGGGGGAGAAGGGCACGAAAAUAAAUAAGACACAUCCUUGCUUUGAAAAAGUUUGUAAACUACAGAAAAAAAAACAUGGUAAAGUAAUUAUGUAAAUUAUGUAAAUUACAUAGUAAAGUAAUGAUAUCAACCAUUUACUGGGCACUAAGUAGGUACCAGUUACCUUUUAUUCCUCAGGACAUCUCUGAUGUGGGGACUAUCACACUCCUCAUCUUACAGAUGAGGAAACUGAGGCUGAGCGAUGUGGAGUAUUGUGCCCCAGACCGCACAGCCGGUUGGUGAUAGAACUGGGAGUUGAAUCCAGCAAUAGGGUUUCAGCCAGGCCCUUGAUCACUGCAUUCCACCAUAGGGGAGCACUUCAGUUAUAACAUGCCUUCCAUAUACUGGAAUAAAUAAAAUUCUCUCCGAGUCUUCUUGACGUGAAAUAUAGAUCCAAGUACUCUACAGGGUCUGUGCACGGUACCUCACUCUCAUUUUCUCAAGAGAAGGGACUAGAACAUUUAUCGUUGAGCCUGUCGGUCUAUAGAGGAGAUCCCAUCCUUGCAGUAAUGGAAAGGAUAAAAAAGUCAGAUGGCCUGGUAUUUCGCCACCCUCAGGAUCUGGGAUAAUUUUCCCUGGGCCUGUAGAGAGUGAGCGCAGGGCAGUUUUAUUGUUGGUCUGUGCCCAGGGCACACUCUGCCCCACCCUGGGCGCACGAUGGUUAAAGGAGAUAAGGAGUAAUGAGGCCCGCUAUUACAUAUAGGGCUCCCAAGGACCAUCUCUCUCAUAAGGUACCAUUGGCGCAGAGACCUGAGGCAAGUGAGAGAAGGAGCCACCCACUCUCUGGGGAGGAGGAUUCCAGCCAGCACCAAUGUUCCGAGGCUACCAUGUGGCUGGUGUGUUCAAGAAACAGCGAGAAGCCGGGUGGCUGAAGCAGAAGAAGAGAAGGGAAUGCAAGAGCUGAUGAGGUUAGACAAGCAGCGAGUCAGGACGUAGGGGAGGAACACAGGAAUGCUGGAGGCACCGAGUAUCUGUUUGUAUCACAUUCUUUCACGCAGGUGAUGGGAGCCCUGCCCGAUGAAAUUACACGGAAUUCCCUGUUGGAAAACUUUGCUUGAAUUAAAUAGCUCCCACUCAAUAGGACUCCGUUUUUCCAGCAUAGAAAUUGAGAAUAAUAAAGCCUGUCUCAUGGGGCAUUGUGCUUAUUAAAUGAAAUAAGAUAAUGUUUGUGAAAGUGCUUUGUCAUCUGUAAGGCACUGUGAUAAAGACUACUCUUGUUUUUGCUGUUAAGAGAAGUCGAUGGUUAAGUUGCUCAAGAAGCAAGGGAGUGGAGACAGUUCUAAGCUGAGUGCCCUGGAUCCUGUGGUCCUCUUCCUUAACUGUUCCCUCCGUUAAUUUCCAGUGUCUUUCCCAGUCUCCCCUUCAGCAGGAGGACUUGGUGAGCAAAGGCAGAUAAGCAAGCUUCUCAUCGGCAUGAUAAGAGGUGCAUAACCACCCCCAGUGAUAGCCAAGCCACACGGUGUUAAGAUCACCUUCGUUUGCAAAUUUGACCUGCAAAAUUACAGUGCGGUGCUCGUAGUGGGGGUGGGGGGCCUCAAUGAAGCUCAAGAUCGUUAUUUCCACAUCUAAUAUCAGCCUCUGGAAAACACAGUACAUCUGUAUAAUGACAAUGUCAAAGAUCCCCGUUUUUGUGUGUGACACCAGCACCCACACAGAACAGGAAUCACUCCAGAGUAGGAAGGUAGACAUCGUUCUCUGAGUGGUCAUGUCAGAUGGACAUAUCUGAGUGUUCAGCACAUAUCAGACCAGACUACCGUGACGUCAUUUGUUGCAAUUACUGAUAGAAGUCUGCCCAGGUCCAGCCCCAGCGGGUCCAGGGGUUCCCGAAGGAUGAACGGCGUGGGCGAGAAUGCAAACAGACACAGACAACAGCAGUGUGUUAGACUGGCCGCUUUAUUGUGGCAAACGUGGCAUUGUAUUUGUUAGCAAUUUCCUUGUAGAGGGCGUCAUCUAUGUUUCUCCGCAUUACCUAAUUCUAAAAAUGUUCCUUUGUGUAAUCACCCAUUAAGGAACAUCACGGUUAUUUCUUUGUAACGUU